rnacentral:rRNA from 1 species
UACGGGGGGUGCGAGCGUUGUCCGGAAUCACUGGGCGUAAAGGGCGCGUAGGUGGUUUGAUAAGGGUGUGGUGAAAGCCCGGGGCUCAACCCCGGGUCUGCCGUGCCGACUGUCAAACUCGAGGGCUGUAGAGGCAGACGGAAUUCCGGGUGUAGCGGUGGAAUGCGUAGAGAUCCGGAGGAACACCCGUAGCGAAGGCGGCACUCUGGGCCGAUACUGACACUGAGGAGCGAAAGCGUGGGGAGCGAACAGG